rnacentral:misc_RNA from 1 species
AUUGCAAAGAAGCAUAAUCAUAGACACCCAGAAAGGGAGACAAAAAAGAUUGGUCAUGAUUACUAAUUGGUGUAUGUUGGAUUACCUUUUCACGGCUCUUAAAUAAUUAAUUUCUUAUUAAAUUAUUUUGUAACUACAGCCUUUUGAUAAUUAUUAGUGCUCUGUCGCUCUGCUCAUAUAGUUUUUGGGAGGAGGUUCCUCUAUCCCAGCCCCUUGGUUAUCG